AUUGAACGCUGGCGGCAUGCCUAACACAUGCAAGUCGAACGGGGGCAGCAAUGCCCUAGUGGCGGACGGGUGAGGAAUACGUAGGAACCGGCCCACGAGUGGGGGACAACCUGGGGAAACCCAGGCUAAAACCGCAUACGCUCGCGAGAGGAAAGCGGGGGACCUUCGGGCCUCGCGCUGGUGGACGGGCCUACGUCCGAUUAGCUAGUUGGUGGGGUAAAAGCCUACCAAGGCGACGAUCGGUAGCUGGUCUGAGAGGAUGAUCAGCCACACUGGGACUGAGACACGGCCCAGACUCCUACGGGAGGCAGCAGUGGGGAAUAUUGGACAAUGGGCGCAAGCCUGAUCCAGCCAUGCCGCGUGCAGGAUGAAGGCCUUCGGGUUGUAAACUGCUUUGUACGGUAACGAAAAGGACUACUGGUUAAUACCUGGGUCCAUGACGGUACCGUAAGAAUAAGCACCGGCUAACUACGUGCCAGCAGCCGCGGUAAU
rnacentral:rRNA from 1 species